CCCUAUUCAUAAACUCGUACUAAAUGUAAAUUAAUAAAAAACAGUAUGUUAUGCUUUCCUUUUUUUUUUGUUUCUUACAGUCCUUUGGGUGUUAUUGACAUUCUGGCAUUUAAUCUUUAUCACAAUAAGCUGUAUUUUCCUUGGAGUUAAAUUGGCUUGUUGCAGUGAACAGACAACAUUCUUACGUCUUUUUUCUAUCGUUCACACAGUUUUCAGGAAAUUGUCCCUCUCAAUGCUGGUAAUGUGCUUGUGAUCGAAGACAACGAACCAGCUGCAAGAUGGCUUGCUCUUAUAAACCGCACGCUAAACAGAACAGUUGACGGGGAUGCUGAUAUCUUCUGUCACAAGCCAUCUCUAUCCCUUGAUUCAACCUCUUCUCGAUCUUCAUCGAACCUUGAUGCUUCUUUCUCCAACCGCUCUGGUUCUGCAAUCUUCCAGUCCUCCUUAAAGUCUAUCAGGAAGCCUUACAUGCCAACUCAGAGAAAACUGCUCAAGAUCUGCAACUGCUCAGUUGAAAUGCCCAGGAAAUCCUACAAAGAUGCUUGCUUUGGAUGCCCACAAGCAUACAUUAAUGAGACCGACUCUUCGGAAGAAGAUGAAGUUGAUGACAGAUCAAAUAAUGCUUCUGGUUAUGUGGUUGAUGGAGUGAUUUCGUCUGCUUCUGCCUCUAGUGACCAGCUAAAAUAUAACCUCGUAUCUUGCAAACGAAUGGUUGGUAUUUUUGUUACAGUAUGGGCAAAGAAAGAACUAGUGCCGCAUAUCGGUCAUGUGAGGACAUCAUGUGUAGGCCGUGGAGUAAUGGGUUAUCUUGGAAACAAGGUUAGAACUGAAUCUGUAUCCAAGUAAUUCCUUUUGAUUAUGCAAGGUGUAGCAUGCCCUAAAUUUUUAUGGAACUAAAAAUGUUAUGAUAGUUGCAAAGACAUUAACAAAGACAAUUAUGUAGUACUAUGCUCAUGCUCUGUUUCCUGUAUCAUGUUUUUUAUCGGAUUCAACAUUUGGCUACAACAAUAACAACUCCGCCAAAAAAACAGAACUGGAAAAAACUCUGAAGCAUCCUAAAUGGUAGAUCCCUUAAUUCUUUUAUGCCUUGCACUUACCUUUUGGCUUCAGGGAUGUAUAUCAGUGAGCAUGACACUGCACCAGACAAGCUUUUGUUUCAUCUGUAGCCAUUUGGCUUCAGGUGAGAAAGAAGGCGACGAGUUGCGGCGCAACUCAGAUGUUUUAGAGAUACUGAGGGCCACGCAGUUUCCAAGAAUUUGCAGAAGAGCUGGGCAAAGAAUCCCUGAAAAAAUUAUUGACCAUGAGUAAGAUACUAAUGCUACAAUUAUUUUAAAGCUUUUAUUUUAUUGUGCUGUUAUCUGAUUAUUGUGCUAUUUAUUUUAGCCGGGUGAUAUGGUUGGGGGAUCUGAACUACCGUAUUUCCUUGAGCUAUGAAGAUACCAAGAAACUUCUGACGGAAAAUAACUGGGAUGCCCUUUUUCAAAAGGAUCAAGUAAGCACCUAAAAAAAUGGUGCCCAUUUUUUUGUAAUUAGUUGAGCGCAACUCAAUUUCCCCAACGAGGAACUAAGCAAGUAAAGUAAUGGAAUGAGAAAAGACUUGACUUUGUAGAAUUUUCAUUUUCAGCUUAACACUGAGCGCGAUUCUGGAAGGGUAUUCAGGGGUUGGAGCGAAGAGAAGAUAUAUUUUGCCCCCACAUACAAGUACACUUUUAACUCAGAUUCUUAUUCUGGAGAAACUGCAACCUCAAAGAAAAAGAGGAGAACCCCAGCCUGGUAUUUAUCUUGUUCAUAUUAAUUCAUUUUAUCUUACAAAUAACUCCUACUUUAACAGCCAUGACAACCUUUAGUACUCCCUCUGUUCACUUUUAUAAGGCCUUGAAGACAUUUCAGACAGGGUGCGAAGUAGCUCAUUUUCAGUUGUCUAAAACGACUUACAAAAAUGAACGGAGGGAGUAGUAUUAAUAAUUAAUUAUGACGGUAUGACCACAAAUUAUAUUAUAUAUCUGUGUAUGACUUCAAUAAUCAUGCAUGCCCAUCUUUGUGUGCCAGAAGAAGCUUAGACAUAGUUUGUUCUCUUGAGAUAAAACCAGGUAUAUUAGCACAAGCAUAUUGGUUAAAGUUGUGGAAGCAAAAACAAUAGAACUAUUCACAUCAUCACAUAACUUACAAAGAGGAUGUUUAAAAAAUCUCAGUCUACAUUUCAGUUGAUGUAUCUUUUUGUCUUGCAAUUUAAGACCUAACUAUACAAUGAACCGCUCCCUCCAUCCCAUAAUAUAAGAGCGUUUUUGACACUAGUGUAAAAAAUGCUCAUAUUAUGGGACGGAGGGAGUAUUAAUGAGUUAUCAGUUCAUGUAAGCUAAGUAGUUCAACUUGUUCAGGUGUGAUAGAAUACUAUGGCACGGAGAUGGGAUUGCGCAGUCAUCCUACUUCCGUGGGGAGUCUAAAUUUUCUGACCAUCGUCCUGUCUGUGGAUCAUUCACUGUGGAAGUGUAUUUGCUGGACGGCAAAUCAAAGAGGCGCACAUCUAACACUAAUAUUAGAAUUGGUGCUGAAGAGCUCUUACCGACGAGUAAGAAUAAGGUUACCAAAGGUGUGCACCUUCUUUAUUUUCAGUUAAUAUGUGCAAAAUAAAGCGCACCUAUGAAAGUUUACAUAAAGCAAUGGGAACUCCAGUAUAUGCAUAGACAAGUUAAUAAGUAUGAUCAUAAUAACACUGCAGGUGCUGGGACCAAAACCACAAAAUAAAUCGGCUCAUGUCAUGCCACUCAUGGAGGAAGGUGCUGAGGAAACUUUCUGCGGCUGCUGCUUGGUAUCUGUUUCCAGCAAAUUGUUUUCUCACAGAGAGAAAGGUGAUUAUUAUGUUGUACAGUAAAUGUAAUCACAUGUAGUUUUCCAAUGGCAAGAUUAGGUUAUAUACUUCAAAAAUUCCCACGAUAUUCUUUUUUGUUGGUUCGGGUAGAGCAAGAAAGCCUCUGCACAGUUUUGCAAGUUGUGUCUUACAAACCACUGUAGUUGUAGAUGUGUCAAGCUUGAGUUUUGUCUGGAGCAAAGUUGUACUGAACGAAGGCAUCCAAUCAAAUUGUACAAUACAUUCUUUCUCAUCUUGAUACACAAGAUCAGUGUGAUGGUCAUUUCUUGUGAAUACUAUUCAUAUUCUUCCUUUUUUUUCCUUGCUUUGUGUUCGUGAUCUCAUUUGGUAAAAGUAGAGGGAAAGCCCCAAAUAAAGUCCACAUGUUUCUUUUCAAAGAGGAAGCACAUAAUUCUUGAACUUGGUUCAUGACCUGUAAGCCCAAAAUAGAUGAUGCGGAAUGAUAAAAGGAUCUGAGUUCAGGAAUAAUUAUUCUCACAAUUCGUGUUCAACCACAUUUUUCUGUUUUUACGAAAGAAUAUAUGCAUUACUACCCAUGCCAUAAAAGCCACUUGCGAAUUUACACAUAAAACCACACAAGCAGCAAGGGCGCUUCAACUCAGAUGGUUUUUAUAUGGAACAGUUAAAUUCAGGCAACAAACAGAAAAAUUCACAAAUCAAAGAGGCAUUUUAACUUGAAGAUUGGGUCUACAAAUAUUGUAAGGAUAUAUUCAUGCGAUAAACAUCGUGUAAUGCGGUCUUGAGUCGGAUGGCUUGAAAUUCAAAUUGAAGGCUUGGCAAGUAUUUUACGCGAUAUUGUGAUAACCGCAAGUUUGAGCUUAGCUAAAUUUGCUAGAAUUGAGGGCAGAACUAUGACUUGGAUUGGUUCUGGCCCGUCAGAUUCUUUAGAGCUAGCCGGUGCUGCUUGUAUGGACACUGUGAAUUUACCCGCAAAAUUUUUGUUGCACUAAAACAAGGCAUCCGAUCAAAAUGUUUUUUUUAGCAAAAGAGGGUUUCCCCUCCGAUUUCAUUUAAAGAAAUCAAACAAUAUUCCAGAACAAGUUUGCAAGAACUCGACUCUAAACUGACUAAGAAACCAAAUGAGCAGAUAUCCAAACCAGAACAGUGUAGGGUUUUUUCUCAUCUUGAUUUUCCAUUUUGUGAAUGAACACAAUAUUAGUAUGAUGGUCAUUUCUUGUGAGUGCUAUUCAUAUUAUUGCUUUUUCCCCUGCCUUUUAUGUUCGUGACCUCAUUCAGCCAAUUGCAUCUGUUGCCGCUGUUUGUCUGCUGUUCUUGGCUGGUAUUUGAGGAAAGCUUUGCUCCAAGCAAAGUAGAGGAAAAACGUUCGUGGGCAGUAAGUUGGAAGAAAUAGAUGAUGCAGAAUGAUAAAAUGAUUUGAGUUCAGAAAUAUUAUAUCCACAAUUUGUGUUCCAUCGCAUCCUUUUUCCUUUUACCAAAAAUCAUCGCAUCACUACCGAUGCCAUAAAAGCUUCUUGCGAUUUAAGUUCAGUCAACAAAACACAAGAUUUCACAAAUCAAAGGGGUGUUUUAACCUGAAAACCAGGUCCACAAGUAGUGUAGGAACACACAAACUAAGCCUAGUUUAGAUGGUUAGUUUUCUUAUGAUGGAACCAACCCACCUCGGUUCGAGUCGUAAACUUGGCACGUUCUCGUGAAAAGCACCAUAUCGUACGGUGCUGAAUCAAAUGGUUUUAAAUACAAAUUCUGAAUAGACAUCGCGUCUAAGCUUUUGAUAAACAUAUUGCUACGUGUAGUGGUUACUUUAAAUCGGCGGUUAUGGCCGCGACGGCGGUGUCCGGUGCUCUCACCACGUCGUCGACCCCGACUUUCAAGCACAAUUAUUUCAUCAAGCGUCCCGGAUGUGGUCGAGGCGCUGAUUUCAAAGAUGAGAAGGGUUUUUCCAGGCAGAAAGUCGAUGUUCAACUCAAAGCUACCACUAUAAUAUCAAAAUUUGAUGCAGACUUUUGUACAACUCUAAAUAAAAACUCCACGGGGCCAGUGGAACACGACAUCUCUGUGCGCACGUUUGGCGGUCGGUGCCCCCCAUGAUUUCGCCGGGCGUGCGCGCACGUUUCUUCGCUGCGUGACGGCCGUUGGAUCGUCGGAUUCUGACACGUGAGCGGCGCGGAUCUCUCCCGCCUCGCAGCCCAGUCCCCCACUCCCUCCCUCCCCCUGAAGCGUGGCCACUGGCGACCACUCCCAGGCUCCACCUCGCCGCCACCGCCGCCGUCGCCGCGGCGUCUUCUCCGCCUCCCUGCCUCCAUUGGUCGCCGGCGUCGGCUAGACAAAGAGGGAGAGGUCGGCUUAACUGCGAUGGCGCGGGCUCCCCUUCCUGGCCCCGCUCUGUCCCUCCUCGCUGUCAUCCUCCUCCUCGUCGGCCGCCGCGGCGCUGCCGGGGGCGGCGGCGGAGGCGGAGGAAGGGGCAGCUCCGUGUACCCGGCCCCCGUCGUCUACCCGCACCACUCCAGGCAGAUCUCCUGGCAUCCCAGGUCAGCCGAUUUUUCCACCGCCCCUGCGCUCGCCUUGCUUCAUCUCGCCUCCGAUCUCGAUUUGGGCGGGGUCGUCCAACCAGACGGCUGAUACGUGCUUGAUGGCCUGCGCAGGGCCUUCCUCUACCCGCACUUCCUCACCGACGACGAGGCCAACCACCUCGUCUCCCUCGUCAGUGCUUCUCCCGCUGCUCCCAGUCCCCCAUAGAAACUCAGAGAGCUAUUGCUGUGGGGCUGUGUCUGAUUCUGGGGUUCUCCUGCUUGUUUAGGCCAGGGCGGAGCUCAAGAGGUCGGCGGUCGCCGAUGACACGUCCGGCAAGAGCAAGCUCAGCGAGGUCCGCACCAGCUCCGGCACCUUCAUCGGCAAGGGCCAGGUCGGCCAUUUGCUUUUCAGCUCAUAGGCAUUAUAUCUUAGAAAAGAAAAUUCCAUGGAUUGGUCAUCUCUCUUGCAUGUUUCAUCUGAAAUUUGAGCUCAGCAUCUUAUGUAGUACUACAAUUUUCAUGUUCCAUAGCAAUUACUCAUAUGUCAUAUGUACUCUCUUAUAGGGCACUGUCUAUAUAUGUACUCUUCAUGUUCUUUUAUUUCUCAAGGGAACAAUAUCUUGUUUAUUUAGUGACUAGCCAUAGCUGGGGUCCAGGAGUACAGUACAGUUCAGGUAUUUUCUUCUGAUGAUCAAUUUUUUCAUCCGAUGACCAAUCAUGUCCAAACUUGUAGGAUCCAAUUGUUGCUGGUAUAGAGGAUAAAAUUGCCGCAUGGACAUUUCUUCCAAAAGGUUGUGAGACAAUAACAUUGCACUUUUCUAUUCAUGCAUUUCGGGGGUGCUUAUUAUUGCAGUUUGUAGAGAAUAAAAAUAUGUUCCAUUUGUGAAUUGUAUUUGAGUUUGAUAGGGGAAGAACUUUUUUUAGCUGGUUAGAAUCCAGUCCAACGGACCUAACCAAACUGUGGACAGAUCUUCAUAGAAACAUAAAAAAUGUCCAAAAGAGGUAGAACUUUUGCCUUUCCAUCAAGUUAGGAAAGGAGUUCUCUAAAAAAGUUGAGAAAAGAGUAUGAAGUACAAAUUCACUUCACACGGAGAUACAAGUGCAUCUAGCAGCUCAAGGUGUAGAAAAAGAGCUAAAACAUCAUACUGUCCUAGUUACCCUACGACAUUGUACUAGUUGGCCAAAUUCUAUGCUCAAACUACCACAACAUGUCACACACUAUGUUCAUCAUUUCCAUUUGUUUUCCUAAUUGUAUUUUGUGCUUUGCACAAGUUUUCAAUGCAAAGGGUUAAGAGCCAUGGUGUUUUACCCUCUUUGAUCAUGUCCACAUUUGACUUGAGAACCUGUAGAACAGCUACGUGUUUUUACUUGGACAUAUCAUGUAUCUGUUGUGGUGUCAAACACUCAAACCCAAUGCACUACAACACCUUUUGCUGUUGAGCAUUGGCAUUAGUUUGGACUUUGAAUGUCAUGUCAUAAAAAUCCUGGGCUUGAUAAAGAGGAUUUUUCAGGGUUAUUUAUUUGCUGCACUUCUGUUUAUAUAUUCCAAUUUUAUGUGUAUGGUAGAAAGUUGAACUUCAAGGGUCUGAGAGUCUUACUGUUUUCAGUUUUGCUUAUAAGUGUUAUAAAAUGACCAGAGAACGGCGAAGAUAUGCAAGUUCUAAGAUAUAAGCGUGGUGAGAAGUAUGAACCGCACCAUGAUUUCUUCACCGACAGUGUUAACACUAUCCGUGGUGGACAUCGUGUAGCUACUGUACUCUUGUACUUGACAGACGUUGCAGAAGGAGGGGAAACGGUUUUCCCCUUAGCCAAGGUAAAUUUUCUUUCUUCACAGUGGUGGUGCUCAAUAAGAUAGAAAAUGUGUCAGAUUGCUGAUUUUUCGUCUGAGCCAGUCGCAAGUAGCCAUUAGCACCGUAGUGUUCUCCUGUACUUCUAUUUUUGCGAUGACUCCUGUACUUAUUCCUAGAUAUGCCUAUUCAUUUGUCAAACAGGCACGUAAAGGAUCACACCAUAAAGAUUUGUCAGAAUGUGCACAGAAAGGACUUGCAGGUAUAAUUUUCGUGCUAUUUUCCUUUUUGGCGGUCCUAAUUCCCGAGUUACCAAUUAGACACCCGAAACAUUUCUUGACUGACAUGCACCUGUAUCCAUCGUUCCUUAGUGAAACCACGAAAAGGGGACGCCCUUCUGUUCUUCAACCUUCGCCCCGACGCGGAGACAGACCCGUCGAGCCUCCAUGGCGGAUGCGAGGUCAUCAAGGGGGAGAAAUGGUCUGCCACGAAAUGGAUCCGCGUGGCCUCGUUUGACAAGGUCUAUCACAUGCCAGGCAACUGCACCGACAACAGCAACAGCUGCUCGCAGUGGGCGGCGCUGGGAGAGUGCACGAAGAACCCGGCGUACAUGGUGGGAACCGCGGCGCUGCCCGGUCACUGUAGAAGGAGCUGCAACGUGUGUUAGCGCUGGAAUGGAAUCCUUGGAACGCCGCUUGUUGCUGGAGUUGGGGUUCAUAAAGGAGCGGCAAUGGCGGGUCGAACUGAGCUGGUGUCCCACGAGGUUUGGUCGUCCAGAUGGUACCGGUUUCUUGUUACUCCCUGAUGACAAGCUGGUUCCUGGCUACCAAUGUUUAUUUAUUGAUUUGUGCUAGGCAGGCAGAGAUGGGUUGAUUGUUAGAGUUGGUCCAUGACAGGUUUCAUGAGCUUGUGGUGCCGUUUUGUGUGGGUAGACUGUAGGGACUGUAAUCUCUUUUCGCACUCUUGUGCUAUACUAGUAUAUAUAUGUAGCACGAACACGCCCUGAAUUUGACUACUGUGGCACUAUUACAACGAACUGAGGGAGUGUUUGGUUCAGGGACUUUUUAGUUCCAAAGACUAGAAAAAGCCCCUAAUAAGUCCUAGGAACCAAAUGAGAGGGACUUUGGGACUAGAAAAAGACUUUACUGAAAAGUCUUUUUAAUUAGUCUUUGAGACUUAAAAAAAGUCCUAGGACUUCUGAACCAAACACCCCCUGAAUCGUUCAUGUGCACAGAAGAGAAUGUCGUUGGGCGCUUGCCCGUGGUGUGAUGAUGCUGAAGAGGAGGCGGUUUGCACGGAACUGCUGCAGAUGAGGGAAUUGAAUGCCUCUCGUCUGGAUCACGAGAGGGAUUGCUGGCUGGUGAUGCCUUUCAUUCAUUGCAACCGCAGAAAGUGCCUUGAAUUCAAUUCUUCAUCGCCCCCGAAAUGCGGAAAUGGCUACUACUGUAGCCACCUUGCGGUUGCCGCCUUGCCUGACUUGCGAGGUUGCGACCGAAGGGGGAGACUUGUGUGAGAUCUAUGAGAUCGAUUUUUUUGAAAAGAAAAACAUGCUCAAAGAUUCUGAAAAAUUGUGUAGACACAUCAACGUUUGAUGUACAAUCUCAAAAAAGUUUCAGCUCCUAAUUCAACUUACAUUAAUGGAAACAAAAAAGAAUCGAAUUUGAAUAAUAUCAAAGUGCUAUUCACCCACGCUUUCACUGUUCGCAUUUGAAUUUGUCUUUUUUGAAUCUCUAAAUGUACAUCGAGUUUUCAGCUGAUUUUUUUUUCCGGAGUUGCAGACAUACCCCACAUGGAUGUACUCAAAUAAUUUCAGAUUUUAAAAGAACAUCUAAAUAUGAUUUUUUUAGGGUUGAUCUGACAAUCUCAUCUAAAUGUCCCCGCGAUAUGAAUGAUUGAGCAUACAUUCAUGCACUCAUACGUAAUGUACCGUGUUAGUAGAGUACAGCACGAAAUUAGAAGGAAUUUCGUGCUGUAAUGGAGCAUGGCAACCGGACGGGGGCACGCUUAGUUGAUGCGACUGACGGAUGUUUGUUCGGGCCACGGCUCGGCGUCACGACUCACGAGGAAGGUGUGAUGCGAGGGCGCAUGCGCACACGACAAUGUUAUCGAGAGUUGCUACACCUCAGGUCACGAACGAGUUUAUGAGUGAGCGACGGAUCAAUUGAUUAGCAUAGCACAUAACAUGUUGGCCGGAAAUAACUGGUACUGUAUUUAUCUACUAUACCUAGAAUCAUCAUACUGGAGUACUAGCACACACUGAGAAGCAUGCCAAUCAUUCACGCGACAGUUUUUUAUCGAAGGAUGAACAGCCUCGCUGGCCGUGUCCGCUUAGAAGAACACGAUCCCGACGGCGAAGGAGGCGGCGAGGGCGACGAGAACGCCGGCGGCGUGGAUGCUGCGCGCGGCGUG
rnacentral:lncRNA from 1 species